GGGAUCGAUUGAACGGACCCUCACUGCCUUCAUCGAGGCACUGUGUCAGUCCCCGAGGUUCAGCUGGCCCGUGAGCUCUCAGAUGAAGAGCAGCAUGGUGCAGCCCCAGGCAGACGUAGCCCUGCAGUGGGAGAUGGCGGGGGACGAGGGGGCGUGGCUCUUCAGGUUCCUGCUGAGCUGGCAGCCAAUGAGGUGGUGACUAGACUACUGGGAGACAACCAGCAGCUCCGAGAGGCGUUGCGGCGCAGCAACCAGGCCCUGCGUGAGCGCUGUGAGGAGAUGGAGGGAUGGCAGCGGAGGUCUAGAGAAGAGAGGGAGUUCCUCAGCUGUCGUUUCCAGGAGGCCCGGGCUCUAGUGGAGAGACUGGCCAGGGAGAACCACAGCCUCACCAGCCUGGCCAGCCCCUCCAACCCUGGAGCUGACCAAGGCCUGCUGGUCAACGGCCCCAGCCAGGCCUCCAACUCUAACGGAAUUCUUGCUGGGGAGA